UAUUCCUACGGGAGGCAGCAGUGGGGAAUAUUGGGCAAUGGGCGCAAGCCUAACCCAGCAACGCGGCGUGAAGGAAGAAGGCUUUCGGGUUGUAAACUUCUUUUGUCAGGGACGAAGCAAGUGACGGUACCUGACGAAUAAGCCACGGCUAACUACGUGUCAGCAGCCGCGGGAAUACGUAGGGGGCAAGCGAUAUCCGGAUUUAUUGGGUGUAAAGGGCGUGUAGGCGGGAAUGCAAG
rnacentral:rRNA from 1 species